GGAUUCCUCGUGGCCACCAAAGCUCUGCUAUCUAGAACCUGGAGGGGCGCAAAACAAAAUUGAGUGGGUCAGUAAAACAAAGUUUUUCAAAAACUUUUCAUUUAAAACAUUUCUAACCCCUCGCUGUAAAACCUGUAUACUUUCCCAGAAAAUAGCAUAAUAGCAUAAUACUUUUCAUAAAUCUCAAAUCAUCAAUUUUUCUCAAAAACCAGAAAGUAUGCCAUGUUAUAAUUUCAAAAACAGAAUGAAUUAUGCAUCAAUGUAACAGGUGAAAUGGUGAAUUAACCGGAGACCCUGCAGUUGGUCCUGUACGGUUAAUUCUAUAGCUCAACAUCCAAUCCAACCGGAAUCACCUCGGUGACCUGUACGGCACUACACUGCAUAUAAGUCGGAACUACCUGAAGUAGUCUGUACGACAUGAAUGGUGUAAUAAUACGCUCUAGUGCUUCUCUCAUCAAUAAAAUGUGCACAUAAUCUAAGGUCACCUAUCAGUCGGAACCCUCUCAUGGUCUGUACGACAUGCACCUACUUGGAUCCAAGGUGAGCGUGCGGUGCGAGGUGAAUAAUAUAAGCACUAACACCAUGAUUGCAGGUUAUGAGCUAUCAACAUAAUAUACAUCAUCAAUGAUUCACAUGAACAAUAUAAAACUCACCUGAUACUUACCUGUGCGUCCACAACACCAAUUCACAUAUAUAUAUAUAUGCAUCAAUUAUCAAUUCAUAUAAUUCAUAUCAUUCAUAUCAUGCAUAUCAUUCAUAUCGUGCAUGCAUGGCAUUUUAGAAACAUACUUUCAUUAAAAACUCAAUUUCUAGGAAUUUCAAUAGCAUAUAGGUAUAAAUAGAAAAUACUGCCCACUCACCUGGAAUUCGCCCAACAACUCCCUAGCACAACACAUCAAGGCGUCAUGACGAUCGGCGCCUAGAACAAUAAUCAAAUCCAACCUCAGAAAUCAUAUCGAUAGAAUGUAACUUAUAUAAAACACAUCACUACGCAGUUUGAUCCGGAAGAUCUGCAACUCAGAUUUCCAAUCCAUAACUUCCAGAGGUCCACAAUAUACCUCUAGGACAACAUCCUAAAAUUUCAUUACCAUCCAACGGUCGGAUCUCCGUCAAUUUCCAAAACCAAGUGACAGUUAACAUUUUAUUUUAUGAACUUACAACUCCAAUUCCGGAAGAUCCGUAAAUCGGAUUCCCGAUCCGUAAGUUCCUAAAAUCCUCAAAUAUUACGUAUUACAACGUUUCAAAGUUUGGUGACGAUCCGACGGUUGGAUCGUCAAUUCACAUUUUCACCUAACCACGAAUCGAAACGAACUUAGGUUCAAUUACUCAAUUUACGUCCAUCAAUUAUCAAAACUGAACCUAGAGCAUUAAACACAUGCUAAGAAUGACAUUGGCGGGUCACUGGCCAUGCGCCGCCGCACGGGCCGCCGCGGGUGGCGGUUGCCCGCCCCGGCUCGCCGGAAAAUCCAACUAUUUAAAAAAAUUCUCAAAAAAAACAUAAUUGAAGAUCUCAAUGAGUAGAGCAAACUUUAUACCUGUGGCCAAGGCCAAUUUGGCCUGGAAACACUUCAAAUUCAUCAAAUUCCGUGCGGACCCUAGAAUUGGGUGAGUUCCAAUUCGACCUUCAAAUCAACUCCACCGUCCAAAUCAAAGCUUGGGCUUUGUUCCA
rnacentral:lncRNA from 1 species